rnacentral:rRNA from 1 species
GACAGAGGGUGCAAACGUUGUUCGGAAUUACUGGGCGUAAAGCGCAUGUAGGCGGCCAAGCAGGUCGGAUGUGAAAUCCCUCGGCUCAACCAAGGAAGUGCAUUCGAAACCGCAUGGCUGGAGUCCCGGAGAGGGUAGUGGAAUUCUCGGUGUAGAGGUGAAAUUCGUAGAUAUCGAGAGGAACACCGGUGGCGAAGGCGGCCAACUGGACGAGUACUGACGCUGAGACACGAAAGCGUGGGGAGCAAACAGG